rnacentral:lncRNA from 1 species
UCCAAAGACCCACUUUUUCAAUCUUAAUUAUACGACUUGUAUACCCGAGAUUGUGAUUGAUGAACCAGGUAUGAGUUCUACUAUGAACGUCAGGACGGUGACUGCCCAAGACUCCGAGUGAUCGUGCUUCUGUAAGAAUAAACUUAGAAAUACCUAUCCUUUUCCGUAAUUCAUGAGUAGUCAUACUUUCUUUUAGAUCUUCACGACAGCUAAUCCACCCCAAGGUUUUGACGUCAUAAUCAGUGGAAGUUGAUUAAGUCUACAUCGAGCCGACAUCAGAUGCUUUGAUAAAGCAGUUCAUCCUAACCUCCCUAAACAACGAAGCCCUAGUUAUUUACAGCGACGAACCAAGUACGAACCCUCUCAUCAUUUCGUGUAUGCAAGCUCAAAAAUGCUUACGAAAGGAAUAUCAUGCAUUCCUUGCACACAUCGCCGAGACGUGCCGAGAAGUGAAGGACAUUCAGAACAUCCAAGAAGUACGCGGUUUUCCCGACACCUUUCCAGAAGGACUACCGAGAUUACCACCAUAGCAUCAAGCGGAAUUCAGAAUCGACUUAGUUCCAGGGGCUACCCCAGUAGCCAAAUCACAUUAUUGUCUAGCUCCAACCACGAUGCAAGGACUUCCUAGAGAGCUUAACAAACUCCUUAGAAGGAGAUUCUUUAGGACAAGUUUCUCACCAUGAGGAGCACCAGACUUGUCUGUAAACAAGAAAGAGCGUUCCAAAUGCUAAAGUAAGCCUGAUGCACCGCACCAAAAUUAUCCCUCCCAAAAGGGGAUAGAAGAUUUUGUGGUGUAAUGCGAUGCAUCCAUCCAAGGGAUUGGUUGUGUUCUUAUGCAAGAGGAAAGGUCACUACCUAUACCUCAAGACAGGUUAAGACACAGGAAGUUAACUAUUCAACACAUGAUCUUGAGUCAGGAGCAGCGGUAAUUGCUCUGAAGAUCUGGAGACACUACUUGUAGGGUACAAGGUUUACUAUGUUCACAGACCACAAAAACAUUCAACAUACAUUCGACCAAGAAGAGUUAUCACCCUAGUGAAGGCAAGCGAAAGAAGCAAAGUCGUAUCCCAAUAGUGAAAGGUUCGCUGGAAUGCCAAGCGAGGACCAGAAUUCACUUAAGAACAUGAGUAGCAAAUAAAACUUCUAUCCCUAGAAUGAUUAUUAAUUCUGCUUAAACUCAAAUUUCGAGACGAAAUUUCCUCUAACAGGGGGAUGAUGAGACAACCCGAUAUUUUGAGACAAUAAAAUGUAACACCAGUCAAAUUUAGGCCAAAAUAUAACUUUCCUAAAAAUAUUAUUUGGGUUAGAUAAAGUAGUAGGAAUCAUAUCAAGGUUUUCGUACAUAUAAAGAAUCCUAAAAUCCGAGUUAUAACGGAGAAGUUAUGACCAAUUGAAGAUUCUCGGAAAAACCAGGCAACACCGAUUUAGCGAAAAACGAGAAGUUUCAAUACAAUGAUUUUUAACCUUAGGUAUCUAAACGAAAGUUGUAGAUUUCAUUAAACCGUGAUCAUGCAUAAAAAGAACGCUCAAAACGGACAUCGUAUGAACAAGUAACAAAUUUUCUAAGUAUUGUAACAGCGGUAGACAGCUAAAAACUCGAAAUAAAGAUCGAGCGAUUUUUAGCCGACACAACUUAAACGAGAGUUGAAGGCCUCGACAAUAGUAGUUCGAUGGUAAAAAGACAACCAAAAACGAACGUCGGAUAAGGAAGUUAUGGAUUUUUAAUGAAGUUAUCGUGUCCCAGCCUAUUAAUUAAAAUAUAAUUAAAAAUAAAGUCAAAAUUAGCCAACGGACUCUAAAUGAAAGUUGUAGAGUAUUUUCUCAGCUUCGCGUGGAUAUAAAGAACAUCGAAACCGGAGCUUGUAUGCGAAAAUUACGCAUUUUAGAAGUUCUUGGCAUGCAUUUCAAAGCCUUAUCUGAAGGAGUACGCCCAGCGUACUGAAUGAAGGGCCCCGGAUCGUCCACGUCGACCAAAGGCUUCGCCCGAGGAUGCGGUCAGCAGUGAUGCAAGCGAACGCCCAAUGUAACCUCGGAGUACGCCCAGCGUAAGUCCGAAGUACGCCCAUCGUACGAGGCCUCUCACACCCCUAUAAAUAGAAUGCGAGGGUGUUGGCCAUCCUUGCUCAUUUUCUUCACUUCUCUCACAUUUUCAUCUCGUUUUUCAUGCCAACAAUAUCCUGACUUCCCGGUAUCAUAUCUAAGCCCCGACGAAGGUCUGAAGCCCCGAGUUUCUCCAAAAACUCGCCACUUUCCAGUCGAGGUGCCGCUCGAGAAAAAGCUCGUUUUCUUCAAAUCACGCACUUUCUUCGGUGAGUUCAUACCCCUAUAAAGUACAUUUUCAAAUGUGUUAUCAAUACUUUUUAUACACUUUUAAGGGAGGGAAUACAAGUAAACACACGAUUAUUGUCGUGUGUUACAUAAAGUUUCACUAUAUACUCUUUUUAUCAAGUUAAUCAUAUGUGAAUAAUAACUACUACAUAGAAACUUUCGUACGCAAAAUAUAUCACGAUAACAUCUUGUCUUUUCAAAUUAAAUAUAUUGUUAUACAUAUACGAAUCAAACACUUUAUUUAUACUUUGAGUAUAUGUGUUCAUUUAUGUCACUACAAAAGUUACACUUUGCAUAACAAGCGAGCAUUUCACUAGUGUUUACUAUACAAACGAAACAAAUUUUUGGAAAAACCAUAAUAGUUUACGACAAACAUUUUUACAUGUUAAAAACUCUUUAUCAAACUGUCUUACAUACUUUAUGUUUCCUUUUAAACGCUGUUAGAAUCGUGUUUCAAACAAAGAUCUUCUUAUACUUAAAAUUGUUCUUAUCAAACAAACUACUUUCAAAUCGUUUUAUAAACUGACAUCAAGUCAUCAUUUCUUAUUUAUUAAACUUUUCAAAGGUUUUACAAAACUUCUUUUAUACUUUUAUAUUGUCAAUUGCAUGCCUAUAUAUGUAUAGUUAUAUAAGUAAUGUUUAAAGGACUUAGGAAGGCUAGCUCGCUUUAUCUCUUUUUCCUCAUUGGGAUGUGGCUUUAGGGCAUCGGUUAUCUGUCCGAAGGUCGUCUAAAUAUUAGUUAUAUAUUAGGUAUACAUAUAUAGACAUAAAAGUUUCUAUCAAUUGGUUCAGUCCCUUUGGGUAGCAAAGGCAUACUUCGGUUAUACACGUAAAAUACUAGUAACUAUAAUAGGUAUAGUUAGGAUAUACUACUUACCAUUCCAAGUACAAGGAAUCAUAAAAGAGUCAGUUUAUUUAUGAGUUUACACUAAUACAUUACAUACUUUAUGAAGAGAUACUAUUACAUACAAUUACAAGGCAUACAAUUUCAAGACAUACAACUACAAGAGAUACGAUUACAUAAGAUAGUGUACUAGAUAUUUAUGAAAUUUUACAUACUACAAGUACCAUAUCAAAGAGAUAUUUUCAUAUACAAGAACAAAUGGACAUUUUCAUACGUAAAUCUGUUUUAUACUAGGUUUUGUGAGACAUUUCACGUACUUUCGAGUAUGCAUUAUUAAGUCCUGUAUUAUAUACCAUAAUCCCUUGUAGGGGGAGCGUGAUACUUGUGUAUAGAUCUAUACGGGAUUGACAAUCCCNNNNNNNNNNNNNNNNNNNNNNNNNNNNNNNNNNNNNNCAGGUCUGGGGUGACAAACGUCAUAACAUUCCAAUGCCUGAAGAACGUUGUUACAGGCAGUCUGGGUCAUUAGCAUGGUUAUAAAGCUCACAUGGAGUAUUAAAAACACGUUGAUUUACGGGGUUAUCAAAUACCUUAGCGAGUUUAUACGUACGCAAAUCUACUAUUUUAGGCAUGAAAAACACCAUGGUAGUUCAUUUUUGGGACUUUUAAACUACCACUAGAUUAUGGGCAAACAUUGGAUUUCUAAAAGCAAACGUUCAAAACAGUUGGGUCUUGGCAGAAGGCUACUUUUUAUACUAGUAGAAAAUAUGGGAUUCUCUAGGGUUUUCAAAUGUUUACAAUUACUUACAAACAUGUUCAUUGGUACAAACUUUCCUUCAAACAUUUACAGGUCUUUCUUUACAGCUUUACAAAUCAAAGUCACAUAAAUACUUAUGAAUUCACCAGCAUUAUUGCUGAUACUCGCUUUCAAAAUAACUUGUAUUCCCAGGUCACAAAUAGACAGGUUCGACUACCAGGUUUUGUGAAGACAGAGCGGUCAAGACUCGUCUUUUAUUUUGUAAUAUCGAUUUUGUAGAAUUAUACUAUGAAAGAACUCACAUGUAAUUAAAAUUAUACUAUUAAUGCAAUGGAUGAUGUUGUUGCUUGUUUACUACUUUGCAUUGUUGUGAUACGUUACAUGACGUCCUCUGCCCCAGAACGUUUCCGCCGUUCUUGGUUUUGGGGUGUGACAGAUUGGUAUCAGAGCAUUGUUUAUAGUGAAUUGAGUAUAUCAACCCAUAAAAGAUAUACAAACUAUAAAUACAAUAGGGAUUAAAAUACUCUGAUAAAGAGUCUAUACUUUUAAAUAAUAAAAUAUUUAAUUAAGUAUACAUGCCUGCAUUCAUACUAAAUCAGUGUCACUAGGACAGAACAAAAGUAUUAUGAUUGUUGGGCAGCACAAGUAGACUUGGAGACAUAUAGUCGAAACUGGGAUGAUAUAGCCUGAUCAAGUAUAUUAUCCGAGGGUUGACUAGUAUGUGCCUAAGUGUGGUUGUGAGUUGCAACAAGUCUAAAAACUUACCCACAAUACCACAAUAAGAACAAUAGAACAUAAACCUAAAAUACUAUAGGAGUAUUUUGUGUAUUACUAUAAACUACUUAUGUGUUAGAUUCUUAUACCCCAAUUAUCGCAUAGAUAACAUAGCUGGACCCCAUUCCCACGACGACCCGUACUUCCUGAACGUAGGCAAUACUGGAUGGUUCAAAGAAGAACCAGAGAAUGAUCAUCCAAUCCUUUUUGAAUGAUCACCAUGUUGAAGACCUUUCGGGUGAUGAUAACUCCGAACUCGAGGAUGAGAACCUACCCCUGGUAGCUCCCAAUUCAAACCCUAACCCUCGUCCAACUCUUCAUGGCUCGACGCUUCCUUGGGUAGAAUGCUUGGAAACAUGGAGUGAAGAGCAAGAUCAACCUAUGCCGUCUAAAGGAGACCGAAGCUGCUACAACUUAAGUGAAGGGAGCUCAGCAGACAAAGUUCUACAAAUCUUGAUCCGUAGAGUUGCCUGAAAUGAAAUUUAGGGUAGGACGACUCUCCAUUAUAUCGAAGAGGUUAAAUGCCAAUGCAAGAAUGCAUACCAUCCACACCAAUCGUCUUGAAAACACUCGUGAGAGAUCUGAGAGAGACCAUGAGACCCUGCUGCAAGCAUUAGCUAAAACACGAGCCGAAGUCAUAGAGCUACGAGUACGCCGGAGAGCAUACGAAAGACACCUGCUUGAUAAUGGAACGUCAAUUGGCUGAACUAAGAGUUCACCAAAAGGAUGACCGCCGCCAGUAAGAAAUACUUUAUUUCCCUUCCUUGUUUAAAGGAAUCGUUUUCCUGUGUAUGUCCUAUGUAGCAUUUUUCUAUGUAACUAUCUUGUACUGAAAGUAUGGUUAGUUAGGCCUUUAUGCGGCCAAAACCUUUCUACUCCGGAUAUGAUGUAAGACCUUCUUCAAGAUAAAAUUUUCCUAAACUUAUUACAUCUUAAACAUCGAUGAUAUUAACAUUCGGCUAACUUCCGUGUCACUCUUUGUUCAAAAACCCUCAUCAUACCAUCGUUGGAGUUUAUCUGAAACAUGCUUUAGUCAAGUCAUUGGACUAUAGUAAUUUAACUCCGACAUUUCCAAGUCUCUUUUAGUGGUCAGAUCAUGUUAUUCACCAACCAAUGAUACCUCGGCUUGAACGACAAACAUCUUUAGAACAUUCUACAAACAUACUUCUACUAUGUACUAGGACUGCAUCAUACGGGAUGUAGGUCAAACUUUCGAGAACAUACUCUUACUCUUUACUUAAGCGAUCGAAAUACAUCUAGGUUCAACCAUAAUAUCUCAUGAACUCCUUUUUCUUUCGUGUUACAGAAUCAUGUCGUCGAAGAAAAGUAAUCAACCCAUCAGCCUAACACCAACUCUUUAGAUUGAUGCAGCUACCUUUCAAGCUGCAGUCUCAGCUGCCGUGACAGCUGUUCUGACUCACGUUAACGCUAACAACGCAAAUGUUAGUGGGAUGGUUUUCAAUAAUUCCAAUCCAAGUAACAACCAAGUAUACCCACAAGUAACAAACUACCACGACACUCCGAACCUCAAACCAAAGAGCAAUAAACAAAAAUUCUGGGAUAGAGUUAAAGGCAAAUCACCUCGAGGGACAAACAAGAAACCAUCGCCGGUGGCAGCCUUCGCAGCCAUGACAUCUGCAACUCCUACCACCAACACUACUAGUAUCCCAAUUAUCCUUAACCCGACCAGACAGUAUGCUGGAAACCUACCGAAUUGCAAUAAGUGCAGCUUCCAUCACCUAGGUAGUUGUCGUCUGUUACACUGCAAGACCUACAACAAGAACGGACACACUACCCGCUUCUGCAGGACUUGGGUCCAACACAUUAUUUCAACCACCAAUGUUGAAAUUUCUCGGAUAUGCCAUCUAUGUGGUUUAAUGGGACACUUCAACAGGGACUGGCCAACAGAGAAGAAUGACAGUGGAAUAGGAGGAGUUUGACCUCAUAAUGGAAAAAGGCAAUAAAGGACCCAACUAUAAUAGGGACUCACUUCCAAUCGCCAGCAUUAAUUAUGCUGUUAAACAGGUUUAAAACUAGUGCAACUCGAGUCUUAUCUUUUGAGAAAUCCCGUCAGAAAAGGGGACCCUCGUGUUGCGUAUACUUGCCUUUUGUAGUAUACCUUGUUCGCAACAAUUGUCUUGUUGUAAAACCAAAGUACUGUAACUCUGUUAAAGUUGCACUAUUGUGUUUUGUCUGUAACACCCUUAUGAUCAAAUCUAAUACCUUUAUUUUCAAGUAAGUCUGAUACCAUCAUACAACUUGACUCAAUUCGAUCCUCGCUAUACCAGUUUCGUGCGUACUUCUCCUUCUCCGAAAAACGUCUUUCUAGCGAAGCCGUCAUUCCAGAACACCGAAGUACUCAUGCAUAGAGUACCUCAUGUUUCUUAUCCUUUCCAAAGAAACCUCAGCAAACCUCCCCGAAGUACCACUCGUUCAGUACGUCAAAGUUCAAUCCAAAGACCCACCUUUUCAAUCUUAAUUAUACGACUUGUAUACACGAGAUUGUGAUUGAUGAACCAGGUAUGAGUUCUACUAUGAACGUCAGGACUGUGACUGCCCAAGACUUCGAGUGAUUGUGCUUCCGUAAGAAUAAACUUAGAAAUACCUAUCCUUUUCUGUAAUUCAUGAGUAGUCAUACUUUCUUUUAGAUCUUCACGACAUCUAAUCCACCCCAAGGUUUUGACAUCAUAAUCAGUGGGAGUUGAUUAAGUCUACAUCGAGCCGACAUCAAAUGCUUUGAUAAAGCAGUUCGUCCUAACCUCCCUAAACAACGAAGCCCUAGUUAUUUACAGUGACGAACCAAGUACGAAC